CGUGCCUAACACGUGCAAGUCGAGCGAAGUUUACAAAACAGAUUCUUCGGAAUGAAGUUUGAGUUAUCUAGCGGCGGACGGGUGAGUAACGCGUGAGAAACCUGCCUUUCACAAAGGGAUAGCCUCGGGAAACUGGGAUUAAUACCUUAUGAUACUUUUUAGUCCCAUGAACUUAAAGUCAAAGCGUAAAGCGGUGAAAGAUGGUCUCGCGUCCCAUUAGUUAGUUGGUGAGGUAAUGGCUCACCAAGACCGCGAUGGGUAGCCGGCCUGAGAGGGUGAACGGCCACACUGGAACUGAGACACGGUCCAGACUCCUACGGGAGGCAGCAGUGGGGAAUAUUGCACAAUGGAGGAAAAACCUCUGAUGCAGCGACGCCGCGUGAACGAUGAAGGCCUUCGGGUCGUAAAGUUCUGUCCUAGGGGACGAUAAUGACGGUACCCUAGGAGGAAGCCCCGGCCAACUACGUGCCAGCCGCAGC
rnacentral:rRNA from 1 species